AUGGAAUAAUAAUAAUAAAUAUACUUAUUAUAUCACGAAACAAGACGAGCUAAAAGUAUAAUUAUAUUAGUGUAUAUUCUGUAUGUUGCAUUAUACAGUUUAUAUAAGCUUUUGGGGGUGAAAUAUCUUCAAGUCUUUGAUAACUUGAUGUAUAGGAAAAAUAUUAAGUAUUUUAUUCAAAUUAAAAAUGCUAAGGUUUUUAAUUAGUAUAAUAAAUAUAAUUUUAUCUUUAAAAUGUUUAAUAGCAAUUAACUUUAAAAGCCUACAAUUAUGUAUUAUAAUAUAUACAUAAUACUAUAUUUUACUUAUUAAUUUAUAUAUAUAUAAUUAAUGUUAUUAUUAGUAUUAUCAUAAUUUUUGUUAAGGAACUCGGCAAACAUAUACUACUCAACUGUUUAUCAAAAACAUUGCUUUAUGUUUACCUAUAAGGUUAACCCUGCUCAAUGAUAUAUUAAAUAGCCGCAGUACCUUGACUGUGCAAAGGUAGCAUAAUCAUUUGGCUUAUAAUUGAAGUCUAGUAUGAAUGGGAAUAUGGGUAGUUACUGUCUUACCAUAAGUUAAUGAAUUUACUAAUUAAGUGAAAAUUCUUAUAAUAAUAUAAUAGACGAGAAGACCCUAGAAAUUUUAUAUAUUUAUGUGAUUACAUAAGCUAUUUUGUUGGGGCGACAAAACAACAAUAAACUUGUUUAUUAAAUAUUUGACGCUAUUGAGUAGAAUAAAUAAAUUACUCUAGGGAUAACAGCAUAAUACAAAAGAGUUUGUGACCUCGAUGUUGGACUAGGAAUAUUAUUGUCUAGAAGAUAAUAAUUAAGGCUCUGUUCGAGCUUAAUUUCCUACAUGAUCUG
rnacentral:rRNA from 1 species